UUCAGUUGCAGGAAUUUAGCCAAUUCAGAGGUCUUGUUCUCCAUAAUUUGGAAUUUUCCUUCGGAUUUGAUCAAGUUGGAUAGAGUUGGUCAAACCCAAUGGGAAAAAGAUGAAAACAACAAGAAACAGAAACAAACAGCAACAACAACAACAACAAAAACAAGGGCAGCAGCUACCCACAAAUCAACAGCUGAGCAAGGCCAGGGCUGUGUGGGAGCUAUGCACAGGUUCUGCCUCCAGAAGCCUUCAGUGCCUGCCUCUGAGCCAGAGGGUUCCAAGCAGAAGAGGUCCCGCCCCCGGAGAGGGACCUCAGAGAGGUCCUCCAAGCCCCUCUCAGCUCUUACUUACGGCAUCCCAGAUGCCCUAUUCCUCUUCUGCAGAGAGAAGGUGGUUCAGCCACUAAAUGGUGCUGGGACCUCGCAGUUUGGUGGGAAGGAGGAAGCUUACUCAAGCAAGGAAUAUGAGACAGGCAAAAACCCACGCAUAAGC
rnacentral:lncRNA from 1 species